rnacentral:rRNA from 1 species
UACGUAGGGGGCGAGCGUUGUCCGGAUUUAUUGGGCGUAAAAGGCUUGUAGGUGGCCACGGCAAGUCGGAUGUGAAAUCUCCCGGCUCAACUGGGAGGGGUCAUUCGAUACUGCCGGGCUCGAGGCCGGUAGGGGGAAGCGGAAUUCCCGGUGUAGUGGUGGAAUGCGUAGAUAUCGGGAGGAACACCAGAGGCGAAGGCGGGUUACUGGGCUGAUACUGACGCUGAUGCGCGAAAGCUAGGGGAGCAAACGGG